AUUGAACGCUGGCGGCAGGCCUAACACAUGCAAGUCGAGCGGUAACACAGAGGAGCUUGCUCCUUGGGUGACGAGCGGCGGACGGGUGAGUAAUGCCUGGGGAUCUGCCCGAUAGAGGGGGAUAACUACGGGAAACUGUAGCUAAUACCGCAUAAUGUCUACGGACCAAAGUGGGGGCUCUUCGGACCUCAUGCUAUCGGAUGAACCCAGGUGGGAUUAGCUAGUUGGUGAGGUAAUGGCUCACCAAGGCGACGAUCUCUAACUGGGUUGAAAUAAUGACCAGUCACACUGGAACUGAGCGACGGUCCAGAAACCGACGGGAAGCAGCGGUGGAGAAUAUUGCACAAUGGGCGCAAGCCUGAUGCAGCCAUGCCGCGUGUGUGGAGAAGGCCUUCGGGUUGUAAAGCACUUUCAGCGGGGAGGAAGGGUCGCUAGUUAAUACCUAGUGGCAUUGACGUUACUCGCAGAAGAAGCACCGGCUAACUCCGUGCCAGCCGCCGCGGUAAAAC
rnacentral:rRNA from 1 species